GGGUAGCCGGCCUGAGAGGGUGUCCGGCCACACUGGGACUGAGAUACGGCCCAGACUCCUACGGGAGGCAGCAGUGGGGAAUAUUGCACAAUGGGCGCAAGCCUGAUGCAGCGACGCCGCGUGGGGGAUGACGGCCUUCGGGUUGUAAACCUCUUUCAGUAGGGACGAAGCGCAAGUGACGGUACCUACAGAAGAAGGACCGGCCAACUACGUGCCAGCAGCCGCGGUAAUACGUAGGGUCCGAGCGUUGUCCGGAAUUACUGGGCGUAAAGAGCUCGUAGGUGGUUUGUCGCGUUGUUCGUGAAA
rnacentral:rRNA from 1 species